ACCGGCCAGCCGGGGUCUGUAUCACCUUGGCCUCCAUAGCUCCCAUGUGGGCCUCUGGGGCUGUUAAGCUUAUUGAGCUAAACCCGGGACCCGGGUUCUACCCCCAGGGGGUUAGGGAAGUAAGUAUUGUCCCAUUCCAUCGAUUUUUCCCCUUAUUCUGGUGACCUUUCUUGCUGAUAGAGAGCUCGAGUUGAAAGUAAUGAAUAAGACGUAUUUCGGGCAUCUAUUGCUACGCCACAAACCAGCCCAAAACACAGUGGCUUAAAGCAAUAAUGACUGCGAGUGCCUCACAGUUCUGCUGGUUGGGUAGAUAAUUCCUCUGCUGGUUUUGUCUGGGCUCACUCACAUGGCUGUGUUCCCUGGACGGUCAGUUGGAGUGGAAGGUCCAGGACAGUCUCCCUCAUGGACUUGGGAGGUAGUUCCGGUUAUUGGCUGGGACACCUCGUUUCUCCUCCACAUGGCCUCUCAUCCUCCAGCAGGCUAAAUGGCUUCCUUACAUGGCGGUCUCAGGAGCAUGGUCCAAGAGGUGAAGAUGAGAGCCACGGGCUUCUGGAGGCCUGGGCUCCAGAACUCACACAACCUCACUUCCACCAAGUUCUACUGGUCAAGGCAACUCACAAGACCAGCUCAGUUUCAAGGGGGAGCCAAAGAGACUCUGCCUCUUUAUAGGAGUUGCUGCAAAGUAUGUUUUCAAUCAACCACAAGGUGAGAAAGCAUAAAUGGCCCCAUGGAAAACUUUCCCCACCGUUAGAAAAUAAUUUGGCAAAGUUUUAUUUUCUGAAUCAAAAGCCUAGAUUCCCAGACUCAUAAAGAAUUUUUCUCUUUGGGAAAAGUACAUACAAAAGUAAGCCAACAGGCUCACAUCAAGUUAUGCCUCGAGAGCAAUGUUUCUCGGCCCUGGUUGAACAUUAAAGUCACUUCAGAGGUGUUGCCAAAACCCACGUGCCCGGGUCUCACCCAAGACCUGCUGAAUAAGAACUGUGAUUAGGGGUGGGCGCUGGGGGUGUUGGGCCCUGUGAUCUGCAUUUUCAAAAGCUCACCCAGUGAUUCUGAUCCAGAACCAGGGUUAAGAACAGCUGGGUUAACAAACAAGCUUUAUGGGGAAUAAGAUCAAGGCAGGAUACCUAGAAACGGGACAUGCGCCUAUCUUCAGUCCAACUGAACAGGUCGUGAGUGGGGCCAUGGGAAUCUCACACUGGGGUCUGGAGUCAACAAGACGCAGUCCCUGCUUUCAAAUUAUAGCUGACGCUCAUUGCAUGCCAAGCCCUGAUCUGUAGACUUUCCAUGCAUUAACUCAUUCAGUCUCCGCAGCUCCAUGAGGUGACUAGCAUCAGGAACCCCAUUUUACAAAUAGGGAAACUGAGGCACAGAGAGGUUACGUGGUUUGUCCCAAGUUGCACAGCCAAUAAGGAGGGAGAGCUGGAAUUCAAACUCAGGCCACCUGGCUUCAGAGUCCAUACCCUUAACCGUUAGGUAACCCUCCUCACUCCGAGCACACCUUCCAGGGCAAGAAGGCUGAUGUCCUCUCUGGCAGGCCUGAGCCGCUCCUGGCCGGGAAAGGAAGGGGCCACGAUUAGCGGUCUCUGCUUCCUCUGGCUCACUGGCUGUUCUUACAGCAGUGGCUGUCAACGCUCGCUGUGCGUGAGAAUCACCUGGGGAACGCCUUUACCUACGGAGGCCGGACACCAAAGAGCUGACUCACUUGCUCUGGGUGGGGCCCAGUCAUGGAAGAUUUUUAAAAGCCACCCAAGGGGGUUCUAGUGCACAGCCAGAGCUGAGAACACAGGCUCUGUGGCUGGAGAGGAAUUCCCCAUUCCCGGCAGGGAGGAUGGUGACCCCAGUGUCAGGACCACCUGUGACCACCAUAUCCCACGACCUUCCUAGAAAUCAAACAAGCUCGAGCUGAAAGGGGCUUCGAGAUGAACCAGACAGAGUGUUCCCAACCCCGACUGCAUGUUAGCAACAACUUGAAGAUGAAAUCGUGAAAGAUGGAAGUGAUCUGCCCAGAGCCACACAGUGGCAGAGACCACGCAAGAACUCAGGUCUCCCGACCACAGAUCAGGGAUAUGGCCGCACCCCCAGAUGCCCAUGGCCAGUCUCCUCCUUACCCAGUUCCACCAGCAUGUGUGGUUCUCCCGAGCCUGGGCACCACGAGCUGAAGGUUCGGACCCUCCCUGAGGACAGGCUGUGCAGAAAUCUCCCAAUGGACGCUGCUGGGUGUGCUCUACUCAGUGAUGACCCCUCACCUGCCGUUCUGAACCCACUGAGCCUUCCUGUUCACAACACGUUUGCAUCCAUUGUCUCCGAGGUGCAUUGAUGACAACCCCCACCUUACCCAAGGGCAGACUGAAGCUCAGAGAGCUGUCAGGACUUUGCCCAGGACCAAAGCCAGACCCAGGCCCAGACCCAGAUUUGUGGGUUCCGAGUCCAGCGUUCAGACCACCUGAGGCCAGCCCCCGGGGCCUGGGACCUCCUGCCUUGUGCUUGGUGGAAGGUUUCCCCCUGCCUGGACAGAUGAGCGGCAGAGCUUACAAUCAGAGGGCGGGGCAGGGGGUGGGGAAGGGCAGCCACCCCACUUUGACCAGUUCUGGUUUCUGCUUACCUGUUGCCAAAAGACAGAUAUUCCCCCCAAGGGUUGGGUGCAGAAAACAGACCUCACUUGUCGCUUUGGGUGAAGCCCGAAGCCAGGUGAUUUCUCCUUCUUCUCUUCUUCUCGCCUAAUCAUUUGAGGAGGAGGGAGAUUACGGUCUGCUUUCUCCCUGCCCACACCUCCUGACCGUGGCCAGACACGGAGAGCUGGGUCUUCAGGAGGGGCCGGGGUGGGUGGUGAUGUGUCUUACUUACAAGCACUGACAGUCUGAGAGCUCUGAAACAUCUUCCCAUCUCAGUCCUCGCAAUAGCUCUAGGAAGAGGACGCUGCUGUUAUCCCCACUUUAGAGAUUAGGAAAUAAGGCACAGAGAGGUUAAUGGACUUGCUCAACGACACACAGCUGGGAAGAGGCAGAGCCGGGAUUUGAACCCAGGCAGCCUGGCUCCAGAAUCCCUCUUACGACAACGAUGACUUACUGUGCGACAUCUGCCUGAGUUUCUCAUGCAGUGCCAGUCUCCCCAGGAAGGUUCUAAGCACAGUACAAAGCAAGAGUUCACACCCCACUGGCUCUUAAUCCAGAUGGAGACGCUGUAAAGACUAACCAUUUUCCGGGGUUGUUAGGGCGUGUUCAAGUGCACACGGACACCCGUGCAGGAUCUAG
ensembl:lncRNA